UCACAACCAUUAUCAACAACUUAAAAUCACUUGUCGAGGUUUAUACUAACAAUGAAUUUGUAAGAAAAACUUUUAGAUACUUAUUAAGGCAUUAGAAGUAAAGGUGAUAAUAUUUCAAUAAGCUAAGGACCUUAAAAGACUUGACUUGAAGAAUUCUUGGAUUCCCUUAUUACUAAUGAAUUGACUUUGAAAAAAAGAGAAGAUGAAGACGAAAAGAAGAAAAUUGUAGCAUU
rnacentral:lncRNA from 1 species